rnacentral:rRNA from 1 species
AUAGGCAAAAAGACUCCGAAAUCUCGGAAGAAAGGAAGGCCAAGGAAUAUGGCCUCUGAGAAUUGGCCCCAAGCAACUUUUAGCAAAAACCACAGGUUUAUGUGAAACCGCAGGGCGAGGUAUAUAGGGCUGACGCCUCCCCGGUGCUGGAAGGUUAAGGGGAGAGGUUAGAGCGAUCGAAGCCCUGAACUUAAGCCCCCAGUAAACGGCGGCCGUAAACUAUAACGGUCCUAAGGUAGCGAAAUUCCUUGUCGGGUAAGUUCCGACCCGCACGAAAGGCGUAAUGAUUUGGGCACUGUCUCGACAAUGCACCCGGUGAAAUUGAAAGUACCAGUGAAGAUGCUGGUUACCCGCGCCAGGACGGAAAGACCCCAUGGAGCUUUACUCCAGCUUGAUACUGGGAUCCGGUAUUGCAUGUACAGGAUAGGUGGGAGGCUAGGAAGCGGGGACGCCAGUCGCCGCGGAGCCGCUGUUGGGAUACCACCCUUGCAGUGCUGGGUUUCUAACCAGCAGCCGUGAACCGGCUGGGGGACAAUGUCAGGCGGGGAGUUUGACUGGGGCGGUCGCCUCCGAAAGGGUAUCGGAGGCGCUCAAAGGUCCUCUCAGAAUGGUCGGAAACCAUUCGCAGAGCGCAAAGGCAGAAGAGGGCUUGACUGCGACACCGACGGGUGGAGCAGGUACGAAAGUAGGACUUAGUGAUCCGGUGGUAUAAAGUGGGAUUGCCAUCGCUCAACGGAUAAAAGCUACCCUGGGGAUAACAGGCUUAUCACUCCCAAGAGUUCACAUCGACGGAGUGGUUUGGCACCUCGAUGUCGGCUCAUCGCAUCCUGGGGCUGAAGUAGGUCCCAAGGGUUGGGCUGUUCGCCCAUUAAAGCGGUACGCGAGCUGGGUUCAGAACGUCGUGAGACAGUUCGGUCCCUAUCCGGCGCGGGCGUAGGAUAUUUGAGAGGAGCUGUCCUUAGUACGAGAGGACCGGGAUGGACUGGCCGCUGGUGGAUCUGUUGCGCCUCCAGGCGCAUGGCAGAGUAGCCAAGCCGGGACGGGAUAAACGCUGAAGGCAUCUAAGCGUGAAGCCCCCCUCGAGAUGAGAUAUCCCUGGCGUUAAGCCAGUAAGACCCCUUGAAGACGACGAGGUAGAUAGGAUAGAGGUGGAAGUGCAGCAAUGCAUGGAGCUGACUAUUACUAAUCGGUCGAGGGCAUGACCAG